GAAAGAUGUUAGGAAAUUCUACCCUUGAACUCAGAAACAGAAGGGGAGGUUUUGCAAUGAUCCCGCAAUUCUUGGCCUCCCUUGACUUUGCUCUAGCCUGGGCCCUGCCCCAGCUAGCAUAACUGAUCCCAGAUCUAGUGUUUGGCUAACUUACUAUGAUAUCCCCCCAGGCUGCCUGACUUCUCUUCCUGAAAGCCCACCUCUGAACAAUGAAUUCUUCCUUUCCCCACAGCCAAGGCUUCCCCUUGAUGAGCAGUCCCACAAUUCUGUGCUUUUGCUCUUUCUCCUUCCCUGUUCCUCUUUGUUCUGUCCUCUGCUGCCUGCACUCUUGCUGCCCUGGACUGCCCCACUCUGCUUGUUUUGAGACUCAGGAAUGCCUCCCUGUCAGCCUGGCAGCUCUUGUCAACCUUUGUUUAUUCCUUGCCUGACUGGAUCUCUCAGCCAUUAUUGUCUGUCUGUCUUCUACCAUCACUUGUGGCCAAUAGUAGCUUCAGUCACCUGCCCCACUAUAUCAUUCUGACAAUCUUAAGGGCCACACUUAAAUCCCAUGCUUUUUCUUUUGAUCUUACUUUCCUGUUUCUCCUUACCUCUUAGGGUACUCCCCGACACUGAUUUCUUCAAGUAGUACCCGUGUCCCAACUUUUCACUCAGCUUGGAAUACUCUUCCUACAGAAAGUCACAAGGCACCUGGUAUAUUUCUAGUUCCGUGAAUAUUCAUAAGAAAUUUAUAUCUGUUACUGGUUCAUGCUGAAAUGCAAAAAGUUCAAUGUGUUGCUGCUCUGAGUAUUCU
rnacentral:lncRNA from 1 species